GGGGUUGUGGCUCAGUGGUAGAGCACUUGCCUAGCAUGUGUGAGGUACUGGGUUCAAUUCUCAGCACCA
rnacentral:tRNA from 1 species